rnacentral:rRNA from 1 species
UACGAAGGGGGCUAGCGUUGUUCGGAAUUACUGGGCGUAAAGCGCACGUAGACGGAUUGUUAAGUCGGGGGGUGAAAUCCUGAGGCUCAACCUCAGAACUGCCUUCGAUACUGGCAAUCUCGAGUCCGGAAGAGGUUGGUGGAACAGCUAGUGUAGAGGUGAAAUUCGUAGAUAUUAGCUAGAAUCACCAGUGGCGAAGGCGGCCAACGUGGUC